AUUGAACGCUGGCGGCAGGCCUAACACAUGCAAGUCGAGCGGAUGAAGGGAGCUUGCUCCUGGAUUCAGCGGCGGACGGGUGAGUAAUGCCUAGGAAUCUGCCUGGUAGUGGGGGAUAACGUCCGGAAACGGGCGCUAAUACCGCAUACGUCCUGAGGGAGAAAGUGGGGGAUCUUCGGACCUCACGCUAUCAGAUGAGCCUAGGUCGGAUUAGCUAGUUGGUGGGGUAACGGCCUACCAAGGCGACGAUCCGUAACUGGUCUGAGAGGAUGAUCAGUCACACUGGAACUGAGACACGGUCCAGACUCCUACGGGAGGCAGCAGUGGGGAAUAUUGGACAAUGGGCGAAAGCCUGAUCCAGCCAUGCCGCGUGUGUGAAGAAGGUCUUCGGAUUGUAAAGCACUUUAAGUUGGGAGGAAGGGCAGUAAGUUAAUACCUUGCUGUUUUGACGGUACCAACAGAAUAAGCACCGGCUAACUUCGUG
rnacentral:rRNA from 1 species